GAUGAACGCUAGCGGCAGGCUUAACACAUGCAAGUCGAGGGGCAGCGAGGGCGUAGCAAUACGCCUGUCGGCGACCGGCGCACUGGUGAGUAACACGUAUGCGACCUGCCCCCUACAGGGGUAUAACCCGUAGAAAUGCGGACUAAUCCCCCAUAGUCCUGGGUGCUGCAUGGCAUUCAGGGGAAAGGCCAGCCGGUAGGGGAUGGGCAUGCGGCGCAUUAGCUAGUUGGCGGGGCAAACGGGCCCACCAAGGCGACGAUGCGUAGGGGUUCUGAGAGGAAGGUCCCCCANACUGGUACUGAGACACGGACCAGACCUCCGUACGGGAGGCAGCAGUG
rnacentral:rRNA from 1 species